AAGAUUCUAGUAAAACAAUUACAUUACCUUGUCGAGGUAAAAUUGUGGGUUAAAUUCCCACGAAUCUUA
rnacentral:tRNA from 1 species